rnacentral:rRNA from 1 species
CUCAGAAGCAGCCACUCAUUUAAAGAGUGCGUAAUAGCUCACUGGUCGAGCGUCUCUGCGCGGAAAAUUUAACGGGGCUAAGAUACAAACCGAAGCUUAGGCUGCACUUUUAGUGCGGGGUAGGGGAGCGUUGUGUAAGCGGAGAAACAGUAGCGUAAGCGGCUGUGGAGUUUACAGAAGUGAGAAUGCCGGAAUGAGUAGCGCGAAUGAUGUGAGAAUCAUCAUGGCCGGAAACCUCAGGUUUUUGGAGGAAGGUUCGUCCGCUCCAAGUUAGGCGGGAGCUAAGGUGAGGCCGAAAGGCGUAGCCGAUGCACAGACGGUAGAGAUUCCGUCCCCACCGAAAGAUUUAAGCACAGGGACACUUUUUGAAGGUCGGAGCCAGGUGUUGGUUCUGGUAGUGAUCGAGGGAAAUUUAGUACCGAAGUCUGGCUGGAUGAGAGGCGAGAAAAGCUGUGUGUAUAUCUAAGGUGCCCGUACCGCAAACCGACACAGGUAGGUAGGAAGAAGAUUCUAAGGCCAACGGGAGAAGGGUUGUUAAGGAACUCGGCAAGUUGACCCCGUAACUUCGGAAUAAGGGGUGCUCACGAGAGUGAGCCGCAGAGAAUAGGCCCAGGCAACUGUUUACCAAAAACACAGGUUUGUGCUAAAUCGAAAGAUGACGUAUACGAGCUGACGCCUGCCCGGUGCUGGAAGGUUAAAAGGAGAUGUGCAAGCAUUGAAUUGAAGCCCCAGUGAACGGCGGCCGUAACUAUAACGGUCCUAAGGUAGCGAAAUUCCUUGUCAGGUAAGUUCUGACCCGCAUGAAAGGCGUAAUGAUCUGGGCACUGUCUCAACAGCCCGCCCGGCGAAAUUGUAGUACCGGUGAAGAUGCCGGUUACCCGCGACAAGACGGAAAGACCCCAUGGAGCUUUACUGUAGCCUGAUAUUGGGUUUCGGUGUUGCAUGCACAGGAUAGAUGGGACGCUGGGAAAGAAGCGCUUUGGCGUUUCUGGAGCGGACGUUGGGAUACCAUCCUUGCGACAUUGGAAUUCUAACCUGCGCCUCUGAAUCGAGGCGGGGGACAUUGUCAGGUGGGCAGUUUGACUGGGGCGGUCGCCUCCUAAAAAGUAGCGGAGGCGUUCAAAGGUUCGUUCGAUCUGGACGGAAACCAGAUGAUUGAGUGCAAACGCAUAAACGAGCCUGACUGCGAGACUGACGGGUCGAGCAGAGACGAAAGUCGGAGUUAGUGAUCCGGUGGUAUGUGAGUGGAAAUGCCAUCGCUCAACGGAUAAAA